GACGUAGGGCGCGAGCGUUGUCCGGAUUUAUUGGGCGUAAAGAGCUCGUAGGCGGUUUGUCGCGUCUGCCGUGAAAGUCCGGGGCUCAACUCCGGAUCUGCGGUGGGUACGGGCAGACUAGAGUGAUGUAGGGGAGACUGGAAUUCCUGGUGUAGCGGUGAAAUGCGCAGAUAUCAGGAAGAACACCCGUGGCGAAGGCGGUUCUCGUGGGACGGUACUGACGCUGAGACGCGAAAGCGUGGGGAGCGAACGG
rnacentral:rRNA from 1 species